AAGGCAGCAGGCACGCAAAUUACCCACUCCCGGCACGGGGAGGUAGUGACAAAAAAUAACGAUACGGGACUCAUCCGAGGCCCCGUAAUCGGAAUGAGUACACUUUAAAUCCUUUAACAAGGAUCCAAUGGAGGGCAAGUCUGGUGCCAGCAGCCGCGGUAAUUCCAGCUCCAUUAGCGUAUAUUAAAGUUGUUGCGGUUAAAAAGCUCGUAGUUGGUUCUGUGUUCCACGCUGUCGGUUCACCGCCUGCCGGUGUAACUGGCAUGUCGUGGAAUGUCCUGUCGGUGGCGGCCUCGACCCACGGCGAGUGUAGGGUAACCGAAGCUCGCCGCUGCGUGUCAGGCUGCCGAAUCAAUCCUGCCGCGGUGCUCUUUGCUGAGUGUCGAGGUAGGCCGACACGUUUACUUUGAACAAAUUAGAGUGCUUAAAGCAGGCUAACAAUGCCUGGAUACUGUUGCAUGGAAUAAUAGAAUAGGACCUUGGUUCUAUUUUGUUGGUUUCCGGAAUCCAAGGUAAUGAUCAAUAUGGACAGGCGGGGGCAUUCGUAUUGCGGCGUUAGAGGUGAAAUUCUUGGAUCGUCGCAAGACGCACUAGAGCGAAAGCAUUUGCCAAGUAUGUCUUACUUGAUCAAGAACGAAAGUUAGAGGUUCGAAGGCGAUCAGAUACCGCCCUAGUUCUAACCAUAAACGAUGCCAGCCAGCGAUCCGUCGAUGUUCCUCCGAUGACUCGG
rnacentral:rRNA from 1 species